AGCUAAUAGAUACCCAGGUAGUCCACGCCCUAAACCAUGUCAACUGGGUGUUCGGGAAGCGAUUCCUGAGUACCGUAGCUAAACGCGUGAAGUUGACCGCCUGGGGAGUACGGCCGCAAGGUUAAAACUCAAAGGAAUUGACGGGGACCCGCACAAGCGGUGGAUGAUGUGGAUUAAUUCGAUGCAACGCGAACAACCUUACCUACCCUUGACAUGUCUGGAAGCCCGGUGAGAGCUGGGUGUGCCCGAAAGGGAACCGGAACACAGGUGCUGCAUGGCUGUCGUCAGCUCGUGUCGUGAGAUGUUGGGUUAAGUCCCGCAACGAGCGCAACCCUUGUCCCUAGUUGCUACGCAAGGGCACUUUAGGGAGACUGCCGGUGACAAACCGGAGGAAGGUGGGGAUGACGUCAAGUCCUCAUGGCCCUUAUGGGUAGGGCUUCACACGUCAUACAAUGGCCGGUACAGAGGGUUGCCAACCCGCGAGGGGGUAGCCAAUCCCAGCAAAAGCCGGUCGUAGUCCGGAUUGCAGUCUGCAACUCGACUGCAUGAA
rnacentral:rRNA from 1 species